rnacentral:rRNA from 1 species
AUUGAACGCUGGCGGCAGGCCUAACACAUGCAAGUCGAGCGGAUGACGGGAGCUUGCUCCUUGAUUCAGCGGCGGACGGGUGAGUAAUGCCUAGGAAUCUGCCUGGUAGUGGGGGACAACGUUUCGAAAGGAACGCUAAUACCGCAUACGUCCUACGGGAGAAAGCAGGGGACCUUCGGGCCUUGCGCUAUCAGAUGAGCCUAGGUCGGAUUAGCUAGUAGGUGAGGUAAUGGCUCACCUAGGCGACGAUCCGUAACUGGUCUGAGAGGAUGAUCAGUCACACUGGAACUGAGACACGGUCCAGACUCCUACGGGAGGCAGCAGUGGGGAAUAUUGGACAAUGGGCGAAAGCCUGAUCCAGCCAUGCCGCGUGUGCGAAGAAGGUCUUCGGAUUGUAAAGCACUUUAAGUUGGGAGGAAGGGUUGUACGUUAAUACCGUGCAAUUUUGACGUUACCGACAGAAUAAGCACCGGCUAACUCUGUGCCAGCAGCCGCCGUAA